rnacentral:rRNA from 1 species
AUUGAACGCUGGCGGCAGGCCUAACACAUGCAAGUCGAACGGUAGCACAGAGAGCUUGCUCUCGGGUGACGAGUGGCGGACGGGUGAGUAAUGUCUGGGAAACUGCCCGAUGGAGGGGGAUAACUACUGGAAACGGUAGCCAAUACCGCAUAACGUCGCAAGACCAAAGUGGGGGACCUUCGGGCCUCACACCAUCGGAUGUGCCCAGAUGGGAUUAGCUAGUAGGUGGGGUAAUGGCUCACCUAGGCGACGAUCCCUAGCUGGUCUGAGAGGAUGACCAGCCACACUGGAACUGAGACACGGUCCAGACUCCUACGGGAGGCAGCAGUGGGGAAUAUUGCACAAUGGGCGCAAGCCUGAUGCAGCCAUGCCGCGUGUAUGAAGAAGGCCUUCGGGUUGUAAAGUACUUUCAGCGGGGAGGAAGGCGGUGAAGUUAAUAACUUCACCGAUUGACGUUACCCGCAGAAGAAGCACCGGCUAACUCCGUGCCAGCCGCCGCGGUAAUAC